rnacentral:rRNA from 1 species
CUUCCGACUCCUACGGGAGGCAGCAGUAGGGAAUCUUCGGCAAUGGGGGCAACCCUGACCGAGCAACGCCGCGUGAGUGAAGAAGGUUUUCGGAUCGUAAAGCUCUGUUGUAAGUCAAGAACGAGUGUGAGAGUGGAAAGUUCACACUGUGACGGUAGCUUACCAGAAAGGGACGGCUAACUACGUGCCAGCAGCCGCGGUAAUACGUAGGUCCCGAGCGUUGUCCGGAUUUAUUGGGCGUAAAGCGAGCGCAGGCGGUUUGAUAAGUCUGAAGUUAAAGGCUGUGGCUCAACCAUAGUUCGCUUUGGAAACUGUCAAACUUGAGUGCAGAAGGGGAGAGUGGAAUUCCAUGUGUAGCGGUGAAAUGCGUAGAUAUAUGGAGGAACACCGGUGGCGAAAGCGGCUCUCUGGUCUGUAACUGACGCUGAGGCUCGAAAGCGUGGGGAGCGAACAGGAUUAGAUACCCUGGUAGUCCACGCCGUAAACGAUGAGUGCUAGGUGUUGGAUCCUUUCCGGGAUUCAGUGCCGCAGCUAACGCAUUAAGCACUCCGCCUGGGGAGUACGACCGCAAGGUUGAAACUCAAAGGAAUUGACGGGGGCCCGCACAAG